CAGCAAUGCCGCGUGUGGGAUGAAGGCCUUCGGGUUGUAAACCACUUUUGGCGGGGGCGAAAUGUCGAGUGUUAAUACCAUUCGGUGAUGACGGUACCCGCAGAAUAAGCACCGGCUAACUACGUGCCAGCAGCCGCGGUAAUACGUAGGGUGCAAGCGUUAAUCGGAAUUACUGGGCGUAAAGCGUGCGCAGGCGGUUUGGUAAGACAGAUGUGAAAUUCCCGGGCUCAAUCUGGGAACUGCAUUUGUGACUGCCUAACUAGAGUGCGGCAGAGGGGAGUGGAAUUCCGCGUGUAGCAGUGAAAUGCGUAGAUAUGCGGAGGAACACCGAUGGCGAAGGCAACUCCCUGGGCCUGCACUGACGCUCAUGCACGAAAGCGUGGGGAGCAAACAGGAUUAGAUACCCUGGUAA
rnacentral:rRNA from 1 species